UUACGACCAUAUCACGUUGAAACAUCGGUUCUCGUACGAUCACCGGUUAAGCAACGUUGAACCUUGCCAGUAUCUAGAUGGGUGACCGCUUGAGAAUACCAGGAGCUGUAAG